rnacentral:rRNA from 1 species
AUUGAACGCUGGCGGCAUGCUUUACACAUGCAAGUCGAACGGCAGCACGGGGGCAACCCUGGUGGCGAGUGGCGAACGGGUGAGUAACACAUCGGAACGUGUCCAGUUGUGGGGGAUAACCCAUCGAAAGGUGGGCUAAUACCGCAUGAGCUGGCGACAGGAAAGCAGGGGACCCGCAAGGGCCUUGUGCGAUUGGAGCGGCCGAUGUCCGAUUAGCUAGUUGGUGGGGAAAGGCCUACCAAGGCUUCGAUCGGUAGCUGGUCUGAGAGGAUGAUCAGCCACACUGGGACUGAGACACGGCCCAGACUCCUACGGGAGGCAGCAGUGGGGAAUUUUGGACAAUGGGGGCAACCCUGAUCCAGCCAUGCCGCGUGAGUGAAGAAGGCCUGGUGUAAG